GAUGAAGAACGCAGCGAAAUGCGAUAAGUAAUGUGAAUUGCAGAAUUCAGUGAAUCAUCGAAUCUUUGAACGCACCUUGCGCCCUUUGGCCAUUCCGAAGGGCAUGCCUGUUUGAGUAUCAUGAACACCUCAACUCUUCAUGGUUUUCCAUAAUGAGCUUGGACUUUGGGGGUCUUGCUGGCCUGUGGGUCGGCUCCUCUCAAAUGAAUCAGCUUGCCGGUUUUUGGUGGGCAUCACAGGUGUGAUAACUAUCUACGCUUGUGGUUUUCCACCAGGGUAACCUUCAGCAGUGGAGGUUCACUGGAGCUUACAAAUGUCUCUCCUCUGUGAGGACAGCCCUUUGAAUGUUUGAUCUCAAAUCAGGUAGGACUACCCGCUGAACUUAAGCAUAUCAAUAAGCGGAGGA
rnacentral:misc_RNA from 1 species